GGCACUGUGGCUUAGCUGGUUAAAGCACCUGCCUAGUAAGCUGGAGAUCCUGCGUUCAAGUCCCAGCAGUGCCU
rnacentral:tRNA from 1 species